AACGGGUGAGUAAUGCUUCGGAAUCUGCCCAAUGGUGGGGAAUAACCAGCCGAAAGGUUGGCUAAUACCGCAUAAGUCCUACGGGGGAAAGCAGGGGAUCGCAAGACCUUGCGCCGAUGGAUGAGCCGAAGUCGGAUUAGCUAGUUGGUAGGGUAACGGCCUACCAAGGCGACGAUCCGUAGCUGGUCUGAGAGGACGACCAGCCACACUGGGACUGAGACACGGCCCAGACUCCUACGGGAGGCAGCAGUGGGGAAUAUUGGACAAUGGGGGAAACCCUGAUCCAGCGACGCCGCGUGUGUGAAGAAGGCCUGCGGGUUGUAAAGCACUUUUAGUGGGGAUGAAAAGCUCAGGGCUAACACCUCUGGGUCUUGACCUAACCCACAGAAAAAGCACCGGCUAGCUCUGUGCCAGCAGCCGCGGUAAUACAGAGGGUGCGAGCGUUAAUCGGAAUUACUGGGCGUAAAGCGUGCGUAGACGGUUAUGUAAGUCGGGUGUGAAAGCCCCGGGCUCAAC
rnacentral:rRNA from 1 species